rnacentral:rRNA from 1 species
AGUGAACGCUGGCGGUAGGCCUAACACAUGCAAGUCGAACGGCAGCACAGUAAGAGCUUGCUCUUACGGGUGGCGAGUGGCGGACGGGUGAGGAAUACAUCGGAAUCUACUUUUUCGUGGGGGAUAACGUAGGGAAACUUACGCUAAUACCGCAUACGACCUACGGGUGAAAGCAGGGGAUCUUCGGACCUUGCGCGAUUGAAUGAGCCGAUGUGGGAUUAGCUAGUUGGCGGGGUAAAGGCCCACCAAGGCGACGAUCCGUAGCUGGUCUGAGAGGAUGAUCAGCCACACUGGAACUGAGACACGGUCCAGACUCCUACGGGAGGCAGCAGUGGGGAAUAUUGGGCAAUGGGCGCAAGCCUGAUCCAGCCAUACCGCGUGGGUGAAGAAGGCCUUCGGGUUGUAAAGCCCUUUUGUUGGGAAAGAAAAGCAGCAGGUUAAUACCCCGCUGUUCUGACGGUACCCAAAGAAUAAGCACCGGCUAACUUCGUG